rnacentral:rRNA from 1 species
UACGUAGGUGGCAAGCGUUGUCCGGAUUUACUGGGUGUAAAGGGCGUGCAGCCGGAGAGACAAGUCAGAUGUGAAAUCCACGGGCUCAACCCGUGAACUGCAUUUGAAACUGUUUCCCUUGAGUGUCGGAGAGGUAAUCGGAAUUCCUUGUGUAGCGGUGAAAUGCGUAGAUAUAAGGAAGAACACCAGUGGCGAAGGCAGCUUACCAAACUAUAUCUGACGUUGAGGCACGAAAGCGUGGGUAGCAAACAGG